rnacentral:sRNA from 2 species
GGUGUACAGUUUCAUAAAAGACAAAUUUUUGGAGGGCUUUUGCUCUAGCUUGCAUUCAGAAAGCUGAGUGGGGCAUACGCGCGGAAUUACAAAUUAUAGUUUAUUCAUCUUGAUAUUUUUUUAAGCGCUCCUUUGAAUACCCGCUGUCCGGAAUCAUUCCAAGCAGCAGCCGAUUCGUCCGGUCAUGAUGAGAAUGCUCCACGGCAAAUUUACCAGCGUAACGCAAAAGCUUCUUCAAGUCUGAGUCGCACACUUGAUUCCCCUGUUCAUUUUUUUUAGGAUACAGGUUGUUGAAGGUAGGGCGAAGCAAAGGAGGGAGAGAAUGGCAUUUCGGGUUAAAUAAUGCAAGAUGAGUGGGUUGAAUUAUCUCCGAAAGUUCAUACAGCCGUCGUGGACUUGAAAUGAGAUAGGCAGGAAGGAAAUGAUUAUUCUUUUGAUUAUCUCACUGUCAUAUGUUAUCUAUACAAGAACUGUUGAACUCUUUUCAAUGGAAAUAAAUCGCUGAUUUGAAGAUUUUCAAGUUAUAUGGAUCAGCAGCUGGCCCAGUAAAACAAGAAGAA